CAAAUUCAGAGAAACCCUGGAAUUAAUAAAAAUGGGCAAUCCUGAGCCAAAUCCUGUUUUCUCAAAACAAGGGUUCAGAGAGCGAAAAAGAGGAUAGGUGCAGAGACUCAAUGGAAGCUGUUCUAACAAAUGGAGUUGACCGCUGAUGAUUAAUGAUGGCCCGAAUCUCUAUCUGGGUUUUUGUAUAUGAAAAAUAGAAGAAUUGGUGUGAAUUGAUUUCACAUUGAUAAAAGAAUCGAAUAUUCAUUAAUCAAAUCAUUCACUCCACAGUCCGAUAGAUCUCUUAAAGAACUUAUUAUUUUAUUCGGACGAGAAUAAAGAUAGAGUCCCGUUCUACAUGUCAAUACCGGCAACAAUGAAACUUAUAGUAAGAGGAAAAUCCGUCGACUUUAAAAAUCGUGAGGGUUCAAGUCCCUCUAUCCCCAAAAAAAUACUAUAAUUGACUCACAAAAUAUUUAUCCUAUCCGCUUUGUUCGUUAACGGUUCAAAAUUCCUUUAUCUUUCUAAUUCUUUUACAAAUGUCUUUGGUCGUAAAUGACUUUCUCUUCUCACAUGUGAUAUAGAAUAUACAUUCAAAGAUUCCUUAUUGGAAUAAUUCACAAUCAAUAGCAUUACGCAUACUGAUACUUACAAAGUCGUAUUUUUAAAGAUCCAAGAGAUUAGAGGACUUGGAGAAAACUUUGUAAUUUUCCCUUGUCCCUUUAAUUGACAUAGACCCCAGUCCU
rnacentral:misc_RNA from 1 species